CGCUUCUUUCUAGGCGCGUAGGCUAUUCUCCAGUCAGCGACUGCCGUCGUCUCUCGGGCAACAGCGUCCUAGAGACGCCGAAUGGGCAGCCCCUCUGAGACCCCGCGGCUUGGGGGUCCGCGCACGCGGGUGCCGGCCCAGCUAGGCGGAGAAUCGAGGAGGGGUCCCCGGGCUCAUCACAGAGGAUUGGAAGGGCCUAGGUUACUGCCCAAUAACAAAAGUGUGGGCUUAAUGUCCUCACUCUUCAGGGAGAGAAUGUGGACUCUAGCAUUUGAACUGAAUAUCUGAAAUUGAAGAUUUCUGAAUAGGAUUUAAUGUGCAAAAUGGCGAUUAUACCGGACUGGCUUAGGUCGCAUCCUCACACACGAAAAUUUACACAUUCAAGACCCCAUUCUUCACCGUGUAGAGUAUAUUCAAGGAAUGGUUCCCCAAAUAAGUUCAGAUCUUCUUCAACCACAGCUGUUGCAAAUCCAACACUGUCCUCCUUAGAUGUUAAACGGAUUUUAUUUCAAAAAAUUGCCGACAGAGGGGAUGAGUUGCAAAAAGCCUUUCAGCUGCUGGAUACUGGUCAGAACUUGACUGUGUCAAAAAGUGAACUGAGAAGAAUCAUCACAGACUUCCUGACGCCGCUCACACGAGAACAGUUUCAGGACGUGUUGGCUCAGAUCCCCCUUAGCACCUCUGGUACUGUACCGUACCUUGCCUUUCUGUCCAGGUUUGGUGGAAUUGACCUAUAUAUAAAUGGUAUAAAGAGGGGAGGUGGGAAUGAAAUGAAUUGCUGCCGCACAUUAAGAGAACUUGAAAUCCAAGUGGGAGAAAAGGUUUUCAAAAACAUUAAGACUGUUAUGAAAGCCUUUAAGCUCAUUGAUGUUAACAAGACUGGACUGGUUCGACCGCAGGAGCUAAGAAGGGUUCUGGAGACCUUCUGUUUGAAGUUAAGAGACGAGGAAUACGAAAAGUUUUCGAAACACUACAACAUCCACAACGAUACUGCAGUAGAUUACAAUGUGUUUUUGAAGAAUCUCAGCAUAAAUAAUGACUUGAACCUUAGAUAUUGUAUGGGAAAUCAAGAGGUCUCAUUGGAGAAUCAACAAGCCAGAAAUUCCAAAAAGGAGCGUUUGCUCGGUUCUGCAUCAUCUGAAGAUAUCUGGAGAAACUACUCCUUGGAUGACAUUGAGAGGAACUUUUGUCUAGAACUUUCGAAGUCCUAUGAAAAGAUUGAAAAGGCCCUCAGUGCAGGGGACCCCUGUAAAGGUGGCUACGUGUCUUUUAAUUAUCUAAAGAUUGUCCUCGACACCUUUAUAUACCAAAUACCAAGAAGAAUUUUUAUCCAGUUAAUGAAAAGAUUUGGACUUAAAGCCACCACUAAAAUCAAUUGGAAGCAAUUUCUAACAUCAUUUCAUGAGCCUCAGGGGUUGCAAGUUAGCAAUAAAGGUCCCCUGACAAAAAGAAAUAGCAUCAACUCUAGAAGUGAAUCUCGCAAGGAAAACAUCAUCACAAAGUUAUUUAGAUGCACUGAAGAUCGCUCUGCAUCACUGAAGAAAGCAUUACUGAUAAUCAACACUGUAAGAUUUUGAAAGCCUUCUCUUGUGAAACACUCAUUGUUUCUAAGAAUGCAAACACUCAGAGUGAGACCAAUAACAACUCC
rnacentral:sRNA from 1 species